rnacentral:lncRNA from 11 species
GCUGAAUGGGUAGCAGUCCUCAUUUUAUCUUUUGGACACUCUCUCUUUCCAGCUUGACAAACAUGGCCUGAGAAACCUUCACCGAAUCCCACUGCCUCUGUGAUGGUGAAUCCACACUUCUUGUGACAGAACAAGAAUACUUUGGACACAUAAAAUUCCUCAAAUUGUAAUGGGGGACAUUCAAAGAGAUAGCCAUGCUUCGCCCUGUGUUAGCUGCCCUGAGUUCCUACGGAGAGAUGGAGGCGGGAUAGAAAAAUAAAGAUGAUGAU